GCACCCGUGGCCUAAUGGAUAAGGCGUCUGACUGCGAUUGUGGGUUCGAGUCCCACCGGGUGUG
rnacentral:tRNA from 1 species